rnacentral:rRNA from 1 species
CGGACGGGUGAGUAACGCGUGGAGAACCUGCCGUAUACUGGGGGAUAACACUUAGAAAUAGGUGCUAAUACCGCAUAAGCGCACAGCUUCGCAUGAAGCAGUGUGAAAAACUCCGGUGGUAUACGAUGGAUCCGCGUCUGAUUAGCUAGUUGGCGGGGUAAAGGCCCACCAAGGCGACGAUCAGUAGCCGGCCUGAGAGGGUGAACGGCCACAUUGGGACUGAGACACGGCCCAAACUCCUACGGGAGGCAGCAG